AGGUGCAAUUUUUCAUCUUAAAUCAAUCAUUUUCAAAUUCAAUCAUCUAUAAGUGAAAAUAAAAGUCAAUCCUCUAUAAUAUAUAGUAUUUUCUUCUAGAAUCAAUCAUCUUCAUGUUAAAAAAAAACCAAUCAUGUGUAAUAAAAUUCAAUCUUCUUCUAUUCAAAAAAAAAAUUCAAUCUUCUUCAAAAAUAAAAAUAAAUAUAACCGAUGGAUAAAUCGAGGAUCAUCUUGGCAGUGGCGAGGUAGGUGUUCAGUGUUCUUCGCACUUCGGAAUUGGAAGAGGAAUAGUGAUGUAUGGCGCAUAAGAACAAACGUUAAUCUGUGAUUUCUUGUGCUAUGGAUUUGUUUUUCGGCUAAUUUUAUUUUAUUUUAGAUUUGUAAUAAAUUGAAUUAGGAAGCUUGUUGAAUGGUUUCUACAAGAAUCCCUAAGUGAAAUCCAGGCUUUAAUGACAGAGGAGUGAAGAUGAAGAUUUGAAUUACUUUGAAGGGUGCUGUAGAGGCCCAUGCAAGAAGCAAAAAAACUUUCUCAGAAUGUAUGGCACUGCAAUUAGUUUCCUUGUCACCCCUUCUGAAGGAUCCUGCCAAGUGCCAACCAUUCAGUUGAUCUUUUGUCACUACUGCUAAUUAUGGCUGGUAUAAGCCACUUGUUGAUCGCAUGAUUUGCAGAUCAGAAUAUAUCAGAGGCUACUGAAGGCAUUGACUCUCCAAUGCUAGCAGAUGAUUCUUCAAAUUUGACCAUGUAAGCCCCUACUUAUCUCUGUUGCACACAUGAACUGAUAUCAAUAUAUGAUCCAAAAUGCAAGAAACUGAUGGUUAUUGGCAAAAAAAUUUGGAGGUUUAUUAUAAGUUAUAACCUGGACUUGACAAAUAUAGGCUGUGAUAAAAUUUCAACUUUUUUUCUUGUUAUAUCUAAAAGGCAUCAUGUAUUGUUAUUACCUUUUAGUUUUAUCCAUGUCUGCCAAGUGUGUCUUGUACAUAUAUACUUUUCACGUUAGCUUAUACUGCUUCUAAUAAUCAU